UUUGGAUCACCGAAGUUAAGCAUCAUUGGGCGCGGUCAGUACUUGGGUGGGUGACCACCUGGGAACACUGCGUGCCGUU